AGCGAACGCUGGCGGCAGGCUUAACACAUGCAAGUCGAGCGGGCACUUUCGGGUGUCAGCGGCGGACGGGUGAGUAACGCGUGGGAACGUGCCCUCUGGUUCGGAAUAACUCAGGGAAACUUGAGCUAAUACCGGAUACGCCCUUUUGGGGAAAGGCUUGCUGCCGGAGGAUCGGCCCGCGUCUGAUUAGCUAGUUGGUGAGGUAACGGCUCACCAAGGCGACGAUCAGUAGCGGGUCUGAGAGGAUGAUCAGCCACACUGGGACUGAGACACGGCCCAGACUCCUACGGGAGGCAGCAGUGGGGAAUAUUGGACAAUGGGCGCAAGCCUGAUCCAGCCAUGCCGCGUGAGUGAUGAAGGCCUUAGGGUUGUAAAGCUCUUUUAUCCGGGACGAUAAUGACGGUACCGGAGGAAUAAGCCCCGGCUAACUUCGUG
rnacentral:rRNA from 1 species